UGGUGGUUGAAAAUAAAUUAAACCCCACGUUGCCAAAUCCUCAAGAUAUAGGCAAAAAAAAAAGUUGGCAAUUUUUUGAUGUACAAAUGCUUAGGCUCUAGAGAAGUGCACUUCUCUUUUUUUCUUUUCUCAUAAUCAAAAUUCAGAAUGAAGUGUACUUCAAGUGAUAACACACAAGAAUGAAGAAGUGAAGAAGAUCAAAGGCAUGCAGUUCCAUGAUCAAGAGUUGUUCUUCGGGAGUGAUAUUGCCUCGACGAACGUCCGGACGAAGAUAAUUCAGCCAACGGAGCCGGCAACUUUUUCCGGAGAGCAUUUGGGAGGAAAAGGAGCCAAAAUCAGAUAAAUAAAGCUGUUUUCAAGAUCCACACGGCCUAGGCAUUUCCUCAUGGGCUAGCCACAUGCCCAUGUCAGCCACACGGGCUGGCUACAAGCCCAUGUGCCAGCUAGUGUCGAUAUCACUCUUUGUUUCCCAAACACGCGGAAAAACCCAAUUUUUAAGCUUUUUGAGCAUUCUAAAGUCUAUAAAUAUCAAUUAGAAGAAUACCUAAGGGAGCACGCGGAGAAGAUCGAAGAAAAGACUCGAAGAACGCCAUGGAAUCAACUCGGAAGCUAAUCUCCUUCAAGAUUAAAUAUCUCCAUUAAUUUCCUUAGAAGUUUUAUUGAGUUUCUUUAUGUCUUAUUGUUAUCCUAAUUUUGAGAUGUUUUCAUUCUAGAUUAUGAACUAAAUUCCCUAGAUACCUAGCUAGGGUAGAUGAAACCUAUGAUGAAUCUUAUUAUUUGAUUUCUGAUUUACAGUGGAGCAAAAA